CUCACGUUCUCAGGCCUCCACGCUGAGGUGAGGGCUCUACUGGGGGUCCUGCCGCCUUGGCGCAGCUUGGACUCAAGACCCUGUGCACCUCUCAGCAGGCCUUUGCUGGACAGAUGAAGAGUGACUUGUUUCUGGAUGAUUCUAAGAGGUUGAUGGACGGAUGGCUACAUGGAUGUGAUGGAGAUGGUUUACUAUCGGGACCUUCCGCAUCCUGCUGAUGUUUUGUUGCUUAGGAUAUGAAUGGCUGAGCGGAGGCUGUAAAACCUGGCACUCUGCUUGGGUAUGAGGUUCUUCCUGCCAUCCUGCCAUCAUUUGUUUUUUAUGUUUUGUCGCCAAAAGUGACCUUGAGGAACCCUGGGAGCUCAGGAAGGAAGGAGCACCCAGAAGCAGGGACAGGGAGCUGGUUGGGGAGGACCAGAAAUCAGGUUAUCAAUACUCUGGCUGACCAUCGUCAUCGUGGGACUGACUUUGGUGGAAGUCCUUGGUUACUUAUCAUUACUGUGUUUCUGAGAAGUUAUAAAUUUGCCAUCUCCCUCUGCACAAGUUACCUUUGUGUGUCUUUCCUGAAGACUAUCUUCCCGUCUCAAAAUGGACAUGAUGGAUCCACGGAUGUACAGCAGAGAGCCAGGAGGUCCAACUGCCGUAGACAGGAAGGAAUUAAAAUUGUCCUGGAAGACAUCUUUACUUUAUGGAGACAGGUGGAAACCAAAGUUCGAGCUAAAAUCCGUAAGAUGAAGGUGACAACAAAAGUCAACC
rnacentral:lncRNA from 1 species